rnacentral:lncRNA from 1 species
GUGCCUUAUAACAUGUCUUUAUAACUGGCUGUGUAAGAAUGAAGAAAAGCUGUCCAUCUUCUGAGAAGGAAGCAGCAUGUGCCAUCCUUCUGUCAGAAAACACCAAAGAGAUGAAGAAAUGAGAAAUCCAGAAACCAAAGACCUUGCUCUUUUGUCAAACAGACUUGGUAGAGCAGAGUUGCAAAAUCAGACCUUUGGGGGCUUGCGUGUUUCUCCUCUUACUCCCUGGUAAGCCCUGCCUUGAACUUCAGGCUGCCUGGCUUGGAUCCUGAUGCUGCUUUGCUGACACAAUCCAUUCUCCCAGGGAACACCCAGAGUUCCACUCCAGCCCUGGCAACGCUGCAGCAGAGGCCAACUGUACGGAAAGUCUACAUUGGCUCGGAACAAUUGAGGCUGGGAGAGGACCUCAGGACGAGGACAUGCAGAAAAAGUGCUGAGUGUUCUUUAAAGCAGUAGCAAACCAUGGGUUUGGCUGGUGAUUUCCUGCUUGGUCGUCUUUUAAAACCCAGCCAUCUGAAUCCGAGAGUUGCUUCUUCAGCAAGGCCUCCCCUGACUCCUUCAGAUGUCUAAGCACCACCCCUACUCUUCUGCUGCAGCAUCUCCACUUGCUUUUGUCCUUCAUCUCCCUGAAAUUAUUUGCUUACUCAUCCAUCCAUGUCAGUUGCAAAAGCAUGACUUCCUCUAGUCCAAAGGCCAUUCAUGUUCAAUAUGUUAGCACUCGGAGCGUCUCCAGUGGUUGUUUCAAACAAGGCAAAUGAGUUCAGUUGAACUUUAUAUGUUCUGCCCUCCGACUGUGACUGUUAUUUACUUCCCUCCAAACAAAAUGUAAUAAUAAAAUGACUAACU